rnacentral:rRNA from 1 species
GAGCAAGCGUUGUCCGGAAUCAUUGGGCGUAAAGCGCGCGUAGGCGGCCCGAUAAGUCCGCUGUGAAAGUCAACGGCUCAACUGUUGAAAGCCGGUGGAUACUGUCGGGCUAGAGUACGGAAGAGGCAAGUGGAAUUCCUGGUGUAGCGGUGGAAUGCGCAGAUAUCAGGAGGAACACCCAUAGCGAAGGCAGCUUGCUGGGACGUUACUGACGCUAAGGCGCGAAAGCGUGGGGAGCGAACAGG